GGAUGUGAGGGGGAUCUGGCUGCCACAUCUGUCACCCCAUUAAUCGCUAGGGUUGAUUCGGCUGAUCUGGCUGGCUAGGCGGGUGUCCCCUUCCUCCCUCACCGCUCCAUGUGCGUCCCUCCUGAAGCUGCGCGCUCGGUCAAAGAGGACGACCACCCCCGAUAGAGGAGGACCGUUUCCUCCGUCAAGGGUAUAAGAGUAGCUGCGCUCCCCUACUAGAACCUCCAAACAAACUCUCAAGACCUGGCCCCCAGUACUGAUGGUGAUUGUCCAUGCCAUCCCUCAACAGGAGACAACCCAAAGUCACACUU
rnacentral:snRNA from 1 species